AGUGAACGUUGGCGGCGUGGAUUAGGCAUGCAAGUCGAGCGAUCGUAGCAAUACGGGAGCGGCAAACGGGGGUAGGAAUACAUCGGAACGUACCUUUUGGUUGAGAAUAGCGUUGGGAAACUGACGGUAAUACUCAAUAAAGUCGAGAGACCAAAGGUUUACUGCCGGAAGAGCGGCCGAUGCGAUAUUAGGUAGUUGGUGGGGUAAAGGCCUACCAAGCCUGAGAUGUCUAGGGGGUGUGAGAGCAUGGCCCCCACCACUGGGACUGAGAUACUGCCCAGACACCUACGGGUGGCUGCAGUCGAGGAUCUUCGUCAAUGGGCGAAAGCCUGAACGAGCGACGCCGCGUGCGGGAUGAAGGCCCUUGGGUUGUAAACCGCUGUCAGGGGGGAUGAAACCGUAAGGUUGACAGAGCCCCAGAGGAAGCACGGGCUAAGUUCGUGCCAGCAGCCGCGGUAAU
rnacentral:rRNA from 1 species